rnacentral:rRNA from 1 species
AUUGAACGCUGGCGGCAUGCUUUACACAUGCAAGUCGAACGGCAGCAUAGAGAGCUUGCUCUCUGAUGGCGAGUGGCGAACGGGUGAGUAAUACAUCGGAACGUGGUCCGUUUGUGGGGGACAACCAUCCGAAAGGAUGGCUAAGUACCGCAUAAGACCUGAGGGUGAAAGCCGGGGACGCAAGGCCUGGCGCGAACGGGGCGCCGAUGACUGAUUAGCUGGUUGGUGAGGUAAAAGGCUCACCAAGGCGGACGAUCAGUAGCCUGGUCUGAGAGGACGACCAGGCCACAC